UGAGGAAUAUUGGUCAAUGGGCGAGAGCCUGAACCAGCCAAGUAGCGUGCAGGAAGACGGCCCUAUGGGUUGUAAACUGCUUUUAUGUGGGGAUAAAGUGCGUGACGUGUCAUGCAUUGCAGGUACCACAUGAAUAAGGACCGGCUAAUUCCGUGCCAGCAGCCGCGGUAAUACGGAAGGUCCGGGCGUUAUCCGGAUUUAUUGGGUUUAAAGGGAGCGUAGGCUGUCUAUUAAGCGUGUUGUGAAAUAUACCGGCUCAACCGGUGGCUUGCAGCGCGAACUGGUCGACUUGAGUAUGCAGGAAGUAGGCGGAAUUCAUGGUGUAGCGGUGAAAUGCUUAGAUAUCAUGACGAACUCCGAUUGCGCAGGCAGCUUACUGUAGCAUAACUGACGCUGAAGCUCGAAGGUGCGGGUAUCGAACAGG
rnacentral:rRNA from 1 species